rnacentral:rRNA from 1 species
GACGAACGCUGGCGGCGUGCUUAACACAUGCAAGUCGAACGGAAAGGCCCUGCUUUUGUGGGGUGCUCGAGUGGCGAACGGGUGAGUAACACGUGAGUAACCUGCCCUUGACUUUGGGAUAACUUCAGGAAACUGGGGCUAAUACCGGAUAGGAUCUCCUGCUGCAUGGUGGGGGUUGGAAAGUUUCGGCGGUUGGGGAUGGAUUCGCGGCUUAUCAGCUUGUUGGUUGGGUAGUGGCUUACCAAGGCUUUGACGGGUAGCCGGCCUGAGAGGGUGACCGGCCACAUUGGGACUGAGAUACGGCCCAGACUCCUACGGGAGGCAGCAGUGGGGAAUAUUGCACAAUGGGCGGAAGCCUGAUGAAGAAACGCCGCGUGCGGGAUGACGGCCUUCGGGUUGUAAACCGCUUUAGCCUGUGACGAAGCGUGAGUGACGGUAAUGGGUAAAGAAGCACCGGCUAACUACGUG